rnacentral:rRNA from 1 species
AGUCGAACGGAUCCUUCGGGAUUAGUGGCAGACGGGUGAGUAACGCGUGGGAAGCUACCUUGUGGUAGGGGACAACAGUUGGAAACGACUGCUAAUACCCUAUGAGCCCUAUGGGGGAAAGAUUUAUCGCCAUGAGAUGUGCCCGCGUUAGAUUAGCUAGUUGGUAAGGUAAUGGCUUACCAAGGCGACGAUCUAUAGCUGGUCUGAGAGGAUGAUCAGCCACACUGGGACUGAGACACGGCCCAGACUCCUACGGGAGGCAGCAGUGGGGAAUAUUGGACAAUGGGGGCAACCCUGAUCCAGCCAUGCCGCGUGUGUGAUGACGGCCUUAGGGUUGUAAAGCACUUUCAGCAGUGAAGAUAAUGACAUUAACUGCAGAAGAAGCCCCGGCUAACUUCGUGCCAGCAGCCGCGGUAAUACGAAGGGGGCUAGCGUUGUUCGGAAUCACUGGGCGUAAAGAGUACGUAGGCGGACUGAUAAGUUAGGGGUGAAAUCCCAAGGCUCAACCUUGGAACUGCCUUUGAUACUGUCAGUCUUGAGAUCGAGAGAGGUGAGUGGAACUCCGAGUGUAGAGGUGAAAUUCGUAGAUAUUCGGAAGAACACCAGUGGCGAAGGCGGCUCACUGGCUCGAUACUGACGCUGAGGUACGAAAGCGUGGGGAGCA